rnacentral:rRNA from 1 species
AAUGUUUACCGUGAAAAAAUUAGAGUGUUCAAAGCAGGCAGAUCCAAUUUUCUGCCACCGAAUACAUUAGCAUGGGAUAAUGGAAUAGGACCCUGUCCUCCUAUUUUCAGUUGGUUUUGGCAGCGCGAGGACUAGGGUAAUGAUUAAUAGGGAUAGUUGGGGGCAUUAAUAUUUAAUUGUCAGAGGUGAAAUUCUUGGAUUUAUGAAAGAUUAACUUCUGCGAAAGCAUCUGCCAAGGAUGUUUUCAUUAAUCAAGAACGAAAGUUAGGGGAUCGAAGACGAUCAGAUACCGUCGUAGUCUUAACCAUAAACGAUGCCGACCAGCGAUUAGGAGACGUUGAAUACAAAACACCACCAUCGGUGCGGUCGUCCUUGGCGUCGGUCUUUCGGGGCCGGCGCGGGGACGGCUUAGCCCGGUGGCACCGGUGAAUGACUCCCUAGCAACUUGUGAGACAAAAAA